rnacentral:rRNA from 1 species
UAAGCGAAAGUGAUAAGUAUCCCACCUGGGGAGUACGAUCGCAAGAUUGAAACUCAAAGGAAUUGACGGGGGCCCGCACAAGCGGUGGAGCAUGUGGUUUAAUUCGAUGAUACGCGAGGAACCUUACCUGGGCUUAAAUGUAUUUUGACAGGACUGGAAACAGUUUUUCCCGCGAGGGCAAUUUACAAGGUGCUGCAUGGUUGUCGUCAGCUCGUGCCGUGAGGUGUCAGGUUAAGUCCUAUAACGAGCGCAACCCCUAUCGUUAGUUGCUAGCAGGUCAUGCUGAGGACUCUAACGAGACUGCCGGUGCAAACCGUGAGGAAGGUGGGGAUGACGUCAAAUCAUCACGGCCCUUACGUCCAGGGCCACACACGUGCUACAAUGGUGCAUACAGAGAGCAGCCAACUUGCGAGAGUGAGCGAAUCUUCAAAGUGCAUCACAGUUCGGAUCGUAGUCUGCAACUCGACUACGUGAAGCUGGAAUCGCUAGUAAUCGCAGAUCAGCCAUGCUGCGGUGAAUACGUUCCCGGGCCUUGUACACACCGCCCGUCAAGCCAUGGAAGCUGGGGGUACCUGAAGUACGUAACCGUAAGGAGCGUCCUAGGGUAAAACUGGUAACUGGGGCUAAGUCGUAACAAGGUA